UGACAACUACACUCAGGACACGUGG
rnacentral:misc_RNA from 1 species